AGGACGAACGCUGGCGGCGUGCUUAACACAUGCAAGUGGUGCGACGAACCAGGGCUUGCCCUGGGGCCAAGCCGCGAACGGGUGAGUAACACGUGAGUAACCUGCCCCGAUGACCGGGACAACCCGAGGAAACUCGGGCUAAUACCGGAUGUGGCGCACAAUCGUAAGUUUGUGCGCUAAAGGAAGCUUCGGCCUCCGCAUUGGGAGGGGCUCGCGGCCCAUUAGCUUGUUGGUGGGGUAACGGCCUACCAAGGCAACGAUGGGUAGCUGGUCUGAGAGGACGAUCAGCCACACUGGGACUGAGACACGGCCCAGACUCCUACGGGAGGCAGCAGUGGGGAAUCUUGCGCAAUGCGCGAAAGCGUGACGCAGCAACGCCGCGUGGGGGAAGACGGCCUUCGGGUUGUAAACCCUUUCAGGAGGGACGAAGGUUCACCGGUGAAUAGCCGUGUGGAUUGACGGUACCUCCAGAAGAAGCUCCGGCUAACUACGCGCCAGCAGCCGCGGU
rnacentral:rRNA from 1 species